UUUACAUUAAUCACUUUUCUGCAAUGCCUCUUUUUUUAGAAUAAAUCACAUAUUUGGUAAUAUAAAUUCUCAAUAUGCUUUUAUCCUCCAGUAGAUCGUACCAACUAGUAGACUGAUUAUAUAUAUAUACUGGAAGAUUAUUUAACUGAACGGCACUGAGUGGUAAAGAUUCAGCCAUUAUUUGAUCAAAUAAAUGUUUAGUUUCGUUUGGCCAUAUCAGCAAAUGACUAACGUUAAACCCCGCCCCUCUAAAGUCGUCAUUGCUGAUCACGUUCACCUGCGUUCGUUUACGCACACAACGGCGGGAAGCUGCCAGGUGGGCGCAGUGAAAAGUCAGAAGCUAGUUGGGAUAUUGGCAUAAGUACAGUUAUAUAUAACGUUUUUUGGAGGAACCAUCCAUUCUACGAAAAGAACGAUUUUACUUGGUGUAAUUAGAUUGAUGGAUAAUCAUUACGUGAUGUGCAAAUGACCACUUCUUGGAAGCAAGGCCUACAACUGGUAGACUAACCAAGGAACUCUGAAUACCCCAUUGAAGUGCUCCAGGUUUCUGAAGCACUCGCGUCGAGCUGUAAACCAAGUGCUUAUCGAGGCCCGGUUGUACCUCCGUCUUCCCUCCCACCAGCCGGGAGAAUGCUUGACGUAAGUACAGCCAAUCUGGUAAAUACGAAUCUCUCUCCCAACUGUCACCGCUGCCAUAUUAUGCCC
ensembl:lncRNA